rnacentral:rRNA from 1 species
UACGUAGGGUGCAAGCGUUGUCCGGAAUUAUUGGGCGUAAAGAGCUCGUAGGCGGUUUGUCGCGUCUGCUGUGAAAACUCGGGGCUUAACUCCGGGCCUGCAGUGGGUACGGGCAGACUAGAGUGCGGUAGGGGAGACUGGAAUUCCUGGUGUAGCGGUGAAAUGCGCAGAUAUCAGGAGGAACACCAGUGGCGAAGGCGGCACUCUGGGCCGGAACUGACGCUGAGACGCGAAAGCGUGGGGAGCGAACAGG